GAAUUUUGGGCAAUGGGCGAAAGCCUGACCCAGCAACGCCGCGUGAGGGAUGAAGUAUUUCGGUAUGUAAACCUCGAAAGAAUGGGAAGAAUAAAUGACGGUACCAUUUAUAAGCUCCGGCUAACUACGUGCCAGCAGCCGCGGUAAUACGUAGGUAGCAAGCGUUGUUCGGAUUUACUGGGCGUAAAGGGCGCGUAGGCGGCGCGGUAAGUCACUUGUGAAAUCUCUGAGCUUAACUCAGAACGGCCAAGUGAUACUGCUGUGCUAGAGUGCGGAAGAGGAAACCGGAAUUCUUGGUGUAGCGGUGAAAUGCGUAGAUAUCAAGAGGAACACCUGAGGCGAAGGCGGGUUGCUGGGCCGACACUGACGCUGAUGCGCGAAAGCCAGGGGAGCAAACG
rnacentral:rRNA from 1 species